rnacentral:rRNA from 1 species
AUUCCUACGGGCAGGCAGCAGUGGGGAAUAUUGGACAAUGGGGGCAACCCUGAUCCAGCCAUGCCGCGUGAGUGAUGACGGCCUUAGGGUUGUAAAGCUCUUUUCUCCGGGACGAUAAUGACGGUACCGGAGGAAUAAGCCCCGGCUAACUUCGUGCCAGCAGCCGCGGUAAUACGAAGGGGGCUAGCGUUGCUCGGAAUCACUGGGCGUAAAGGGCGCGUAGGCGGCUGAUUUAGUCGAGGGUGAAAGCCCGUGGCUCAACCACGGAAUGGCCUUCGAUACUGAUUGGCUUGAGACCGGAAGAGGACAGCGGAACUGCGAGUGUAGAGGUGAAAUUCGUAGAUAUUCGCAAGAACACCAGUGGCGAAGGCGGCUGUCUGGUCCGGUUCUGACGCUGAGGCGCGAAAGCGUGGGGAGCAAACAGGAUUAGAUACCCUGGUAGUCCACGCUGUAAACGAUGAAUGCUAGCCGUUGGGGUGCAUGCACCUCAGUGGCGCCGCUAACGCUUAAGCAUCCGCAUGGUAGACCGC